GUGUCAGCCGCCGCGGUAAUACGGAGGGUGCGAGCGUUGUCCGGAAUCACUGGGCGUAAAGGGCGCGUAGGCGGCCCGCGCAAGCGUGCGGUGAAAGCCCGGGGCUCAACCCCGGGUCGGCCGUGCGGACUGCGGGGCUCGAGCACUGUAGGGGCAGAUGGAAUUCCGGGUGUAGCGGUGGAAUGCGUAGAGAUCCGGAAGAACACCGGUGGCGAAGGCGGUCUGCUGGGCAGUAGCUGACGCUGAGGCGCGACAGCGUGGGGAGCAAACAGGAUUAGAUACCCGCGUAGUCC
rnacentral:rRNA from 1 species